rnacentral:rRNA from 1 species
UGAGCAAUCUGCCCUUCUCUUCGGAAUAAGCGUUGGAAACGACGUCUAAUGCCGAAUACGACCUCCUUUCGCAUGAUCGGAGGUGGAAAGCUCCGGCGGAGAAGGAUGAGCUCGCGGCCUAUCAGCUAGUUGGUGUGGGUAAUGGCCCACCAAGGCGACGACGGGUAGCCGGCCUGAGAGGGUGACCGGCCACACUGGGACUGAGAUACGGCCCAGACCUCCGUACGGGAGGNAGCG